rnacentral:rRNA from 1 species
UACGUAGGUGGCAAGCGUUGUCCGGAUUUCCUGGGCGUAAAGAGCGCGCAGGCGGUCGUGCAAGUCGCGUGUGAAAGCCCCCGGCUCAACUGGGGAGGGUCACACGAUACUGCUCGACUCGAAGGCAGGAGAGGGAAGUGGAAUUCCCGGUGUAGUGGUGAAAUGCGCAGAUAUCUGGGGGAAGGCCGGCGGCGAAGGCGCUUUUCUGGUUAGAUCCUGACACUGAGGCACGAAAGCGUGGGGAGCAAACAGG